UAUCUGCCUUAUGGACAAGAUCCUGC
rnacentral:piRNA from 1 species